rnacentral:rRNA from 1 species
AUUGAACGCUGGCGGCAGGCCUAACACAUGCAAGUCGAGCGGAUGAGGGUAGCUUGCUAUCUGAUUCAGCGGCGGACGGGUGAGUAAUGCCUAGGAAUCUGCCUGGUAGUGGGGGGCAACGUUUCGAAAGGAACGCUAAUACCGCAUACGUCCUACGGGAGAAAGUGGGGGAUCUUCGGACCUCACGCUAUCAGAUGAGCCUAGGUACGAUUAGCUAGUUGGUGAGGUAAAGGCUCACCAAGGCGACGAUCGUUAACUGGUCUGAGAGGAUGAUCAGGCACACUGGAACUGAGAAACGGUCCAGACUCCUACGGGAGGCAGCAGUGGGGAAUAUUGGACAAUGGGCGAAAGCCUGAUCCAGCCAUGCCGCGUGUGUGAAGAAGGUCUUCGGAUUGUAAAGCACUUUAAGUUGGGAGGAAGGGCAGUAAGUUAAUACCUUGCUGUUUUGGCGUUACCGACAGAAUAAGCACCGGCUAACUUCGUGCCAGCCGCCGCCGUAAAAC